rnacentral:rRNA from 1 species
CGUCUAGGCGGGUCGGUAAGUCGGUUGUGAAAUCCCUCGGCUCACCCGAGGAAGUGCACCCGAUACUGCCGGUCUUGAGGGCAAGAGGGGAGAGUGGAACUCCUGGUGGAGCGGUGAAAUGCGUAGAUAUCAGGAGGAACGCCGGUGGCGAAAGCGACUCUCUGGCUUGUUCCUGACGCUGAAGCGCGAAAGCUAGGGGAGCGAACG